CCCUACGGGGGGCAGCAGGCGCGAACACUUUACAAUGCGGGAAACCGCGAUAAGGGAACCCCGAGUGCCAGCAUCAAAUGUUGGCUGUCCG
rnacentral:rRNA from 1 species